rnacentral:rRNA from 1 species
CACGUAGGGGGCAAGCGUUGUCCGGAUUCAUUGGGCGUAAAGAGCUCGUAGGCGGUUUGUCGCGUCUGCUGUGAAAACCUAAGGCUCAACCUUGGGCUUGCAGUGGGUACGGGCAGACUAGAGUGCGGUAGGGGUGACUGGAAUUCCUGGUGUAGCGGUGGAAUGCGCAGAUAUCAGGAGGAACACCGAUGGCGAAGGCAGGUCACUGGGCCGCAAACUGACGCUGGAGGA